GGAUGAGGUGGAGGACAGUAGCAAUGAAAUUGGGUCAGAAGAAGAUAUGGUGGAAACUUGUUCUGUCUCCUCCACACAGGCCCAUGAUGCAAAAUUACAAACACAGUUAUGGAAACUCUGGAGAAUUUGUGGCAGGACUUCAGGAAUAACAUGCCAAAUACCUUACACAAUACAUGGACGUUAAGACCCUUGCUCAGUUUCUUACCUGUUUCUCUGCUAUGAACAAACUAAACAUCAUGCGCAAGUUGCCAUCAAUUCUUCACGAUGGAAAGCCCAAUCUCAUUCUGUGCCCUGCUACAGAAUUAAUAACCAGCACACUUGCGUUGUACAUGAACAGCCCAGAACAGGCUUUUCCCUCAGUUGACGAGGUGCUAAUGUGCCAAGAGGACACAAGUGAAGAAGAGGUUGAAUCUUUCUUCGGCGAUGCCUAGGUCAAGAUGCUCCAAGCCACCAUCAGAAAAUCUAUACAUUGGUUAAUCAGGUUUACUGACCUAUAAUGUAAGCGUGGCUCUGGCAGAGCGUUUUGAGAAAAUGGAGAGGAGUGCUAGAUCUAAUUUUUGCAUGGUUAUAGUUUGUCCUGUGAACCAAGACAGAUAUAUCCCAUCAUUCUUUAGCAACUACAAGGUGCAAGCAGGAUUGACUGUUUCCUUAGAAAGUGGCAAGAAAUACCUUCAGCAUCACUUCUCUCCUCCCUGUGUUCAAGGCCGUCAACGUCAGGUCUUUCCAGAUGGUAUUUCUUCCUGGUUGAUUACAUCUAAACGUGCAGCUGUUGGAAAGUCACUCUAUGUUAAAAGGAUGUUCCAGAAUUCAAGACAAACUUUUCCAAAUGCCACUUAUCUGCCAGUUAGACUGAUAGAACCCAGUGUUGAUACAGAUUGCUUAGUUCGAACACUUUGUGAGAAGCAGUCACCACUGAAAGAACAAGAUCCUGUUCUCCUGCACAUUGACA
ensembl:lncRNA